AGGUGGAAGAUUGAGACAGCAUGAUGAAUCGCUUCAUCCUCUUUAAAAUACGCUUUAACCUCUUUAAACCCGAUGGCAGAACGGGUUGUAUAGAAGGUAAAUACGUCGAAGAUGAAACAUCUGCUGGCUGAAGGAACCGAGCGUGAUAGAGCUCCCAUUGACAAACGUGUGAUGAUCGACGGAGAUGAGUUCGAGGUGGUGAAUGAAUUUGUCUACCUCGGAUCAUUGGUCGGAUAACAACUGCAGCAGAGAAAUUGGGAGACGUUUGACCAUGUCCGCAAAUGGCGCGUAUGGUCUCGCACCGACUACAGAUCUUUCAAAUACCUGCCCUAUUCACUAUUGAUGGUAGUAGAGAACACUACCAUGGUUGCAACGGGUAACGGGGAAUCAGGGUUUGAUUCCGGAGAGAGAGCCUGAGAAAUAGCACAUCCAAGCAAGGCAGCAGGCGCGUAAAUUACCCAAUCCCGGCACGGAGAGGUAGUGACGAGAAAUAACAAUAUAAGGCUCUUUUAUGACGUCUUAUAAUUGGAAUGAGUUGAGCAUAAAUCCUUCAACAAGGAUCAAUAGGAAAGCAGGUCUGGUGCCAGCAGCCGCGGUAAUUCCAACUCAACUAGCAUAUUAAA
rnacentral:rRNA from 1 species